GACGAACGCUGGCGGCGUGCUUAACACAUGCAAGUCGAACGGAAAGGCCCUGCUUUUGUGGGGUGCUCGAGUGGCGAACGGGUGAGUAACAUGUGAGUAACCUGCCCUUGACUUUGGGAUAACUUCAGGAAACUGGGGCUAAUACCGGAUAGGAGCUCCUGCUGCAUGGUGUGGGUUGGAAAGUUUCGGCGGUUGGGGAUGGACUCGCGGCUUAUCAGCUUGCUGGUGGGGUAGUGGCUUACCAAGGCUUUGACGGGUAGCCGGCCUGAGAGGGUGACCGGCCCCAUUGGGACUCAGAUACGGCCCAGACUCCUACGGGAGGCAGCGGUGGAGAACAUUGCACAAUGGGCGCACGCCUGAUGCAGCAACGCCGCGUGCGGGAUGACGGCCUUCGGGUUUUAAACCGCUUUCGCCUGUGACGAAGCGUGAUUGGCGGUACUGGGUAAAGAAGCACCGGCUAACUACGUG
rnacentral:rRNA from 1 species